AUCUCUUCCAAAAUAAACCCACAAAGAAUGUUUUAUCAGAGCACCAAAGAGGGUUAGUGUAGUUUUUCAUUGGGUUAACCAUUUUCAAAUGGUUGGGGCGGAAGAUUGGAAGUGAAGGGCGUGCUCUUGGGCGAGAGAGGGGAGAGUGGAUGAGAGAACGGCCCUAAUGCGGCAUCUCAUUACAACCUCUGUCAGGAUUCCUCUAUUCCACCAUCAGCUCCCCUUAACUUGGUAAAAGCCCAACUGUCGUUUCGAGUCUGGCUCCCGGUCGGUGUGGAUAAGUUCUGGCAGGUGUAGGCCCUCUGCUUCUUUCUCAGGGUAAGCUCGCAGACAAUGACCUUCCUUUAAUGAAACACUGAUUCUUUUUUUUUCGCCUUUUUCGCACUGAUUCUUUUAUCCUUGUCCUUGAAUGGCAUUCGAGUGAGCAGGAAGUUGUGGCUGGCUUGAUACGAUGGGAAAAUAGAGCUGCUAAAAUGGCGUGGCGUGUCGUUCAGAGAGUCAGCGUGAUAUCGUAUUUAACCCUUGGCUUUGUGGUUCGCCUUAGAUGCCCUCGCUAAUGCUGCCGCCACCACAAAAGAAAAAAAAAAUUAAAGGCGUACGACACCUUUUCCAUUACGAUUGCUUCCUUAUAAGAUUUCACAUCGUAAAUUUAGCACAGUUGUUGUUUCUAUUAGUGCUUGUCUACAAAAAAAAUGUAAUUAAUUAUGCUUAGUGUGCAUCGAUUAACAGUUGUGAUUUUUUAUAGCGAUGGGGAAUAAACAGAACUAAGAUUUUGCGUUCAUUCUAUCAUUGUCGUGAUGAACGUUUUUAGUUUUUAUGCAUUACAAAGCUUUUUUCCUUAAAAUUUUAAUGCUGAAACAAGAAAAGAUGUUUCGCUUUAUACAUCGAAAAACAAGUUUGUGUCUGUUGAUUUAUUUUUAACAAAACUAAAAUACCAACUCCAUUAUGAAUUUUGUUUUUUAAAAAUCGGGUUGAAUUACCUCUGAAGUUUGUACUCGUGGUUUGGUACUUUGCUAUCCAGUUAUGAAAUCGUGAAGCGAUACUACCUUAUAUUCACCAAAAGUAUACGUUUAUACCUCCUGGAGGGUGCCCUUUACGUUUUAAACCACAGUUAUCUGCAGAACAGCUCUCAUAAACAUGCUAGCUAGGUAUUACAUGUGCUCGCCAAGAGACAAUGCUGUGUGUGUCUGCAAUCUAAAACCUUACUGUCCACAGUAGCUUUAGCAUCGUCUUUUAGUCAUAAAGCAAACAGGAUGAAAAUGCAAAUAAAACAAUAAUGUUGAUCUUUCAAACUCUUUAAGUCCCUUUGUCAAAUUCUCAGCAGCCAGCUCAAAACUGAUCAACAUCUAAAUCAAGGUGCAAUGAUCAAUAUGCAUGCAGUUCUACAAAACAAAAUACAUUCCCUUAAAUGCGUCAGACUUACUUGAUUUAAGACACAAUCGCCUAAAAAGCUUCAUUUUAACCAGGUAGAACUAUUUUUUUUCAAAAUCAUCUAUAAAAUAAUUUGUGUUAAACUUUACUUUCAAUAAGUUAUAAGAUGAUACAUGUUAAAAUAACUUGUAAUGAAACAAUCUGCCCAUGAAACCAGUAAAAUGUUACUUUAUGUAAGCUACACUGGAUAAAAACAAGUAAAUAACUGAAAUUUAAACCAUCAGAUCAUUGUGUUCUACAUUGUACAAUAAUUAAAUAUGGCUUACAAUUAGAGAAAUGGACUUGGUUUUUCUAGCAAUGAAAAUGUGUUUAGCUUUCAGGAAACACCAGGAAGAGUCUCUCCCUGUGGAUUCUUUCAGGUCCUCUAGCAGUCGUAGUAUGACGAAAAAGACAAAAAAAACAAAAAAAAAA